GAGUGUGUGUGAUAUCCCCGCGCUCAGGAUGAACGCUGGCGGCGUGCCUAAUACAUGCAAGUCGAGCGAACAGACGAGGAGCUUGCUCCUCUGACGUAGCGGCGGACGGGUGAGUAACACGUGGAUAACCUACCUAUAAGACUGGGAUAACUUCGGGAAACCGGAGCUAAUACCGGAUAACAUGUUGAACCGCAUGGUUCAACAGUGAAAGACGGUCUUGCUGUCACUUAUAGAUGGAUCCGCGCCGCAUUAGCUAGUUGGUAAGGUAACGGCUUACCAAGGCAACGAUGCGUAGCCGACCUGAGAGGGUGAUCGGCCACACUGGAACUGAGACACGGUCCAGACUCCUACGGGAGGCAGCAGUAGGGAAUCUUCCGCAAUGGGCGAAAGCCUGACGGAGCAACGCCGCGUGAGUGAAGAAGGUCUUCGGAUCGUAAAACUCUGUUAUUAGGGAAGAACAAAUGUGUAAGUAACUAUGCACGUCUUGACGGUACCUAAUCAGAAAGCCACGGCUAACUACGUGCCAGCAGCCGCGGUAAUACGUAGGUGGCAAGCGUUAUCCGGAAUUAUUGGGCGUAAAGCGCGCGUAGGCGGUUUUUUAAGUUUGAUGUGAAAGCCCACGGCUCAACCGUGGAGGGUCAUUGGAAACUGGAAAACUUGAGUGCAGAAGAGGAAAGUGGAAUUCCAUGUGUAGCGGUGAAAUGCGCAGAGAUAUGGAGGAACACCAGUGGCGAAGGCGACUUUCUGGUCUGUAACUGACGCUGAUGUGCGAAAGCGUGGGGAUCAAACAGGAUUAGAUACCCUGGUAGUCCACGCCGUAAACGAUGAGUGCUAAGUGUUAGGGGGUUUCCGCCCCUUAGUGCUGCAGCUAACGCAUAAGCACUCCGCCGGGGGGGACCCC
rnacentral:rRNA from 1 species